rnacentral:rRNA from 1 species
UGGUAGUGUAUUGGACUACCAUUGGUAGUGUAUUGGACAACCAUUGGUAGUGUAUUGGACAACCAUUGGUAGUGUAUUGGACAACCAUUGGUAGUGUAUUGGACAACCAUUGGUAGUGUAUUGGACAACCAUGGCAGUCACGGGUAACGGGGAAUUAGGGUUCGAUUCCGGAGAGGGAGCCUGAGAAACGGCUACCACAGCUACGGUAGGCAGCAGGUGCGUAAAUUACCCAAUCCAAAAUCUGGAAGGUAGUUACAGGAAAUUUGUUGCAUAGGCUUCUAGCCUAGACACAAACGAACACAUGUACGUAUUGUGUGUUUAAUUGGAGGGCAAGUUUUGGUGCCAGCAGCCGCGGUAAUUCCAACUCCAAGAGUGUAUCUUAAUGUUGCUGCAGUUAAAAAGCUCGUAGUUGAACUUCUGGCUGUUGAGUCUGCAACUAGUGGACUCGGCAGUCAUCCGCUAGGAGAAGUAGUAUUUCUGUCAAAGGUUUUACUACGGACCCAGCAUUUUACUUUGAAGAAAUUAGAGUGUUCCUGGCAGGCUAAGCUUGCAUAUAUUAGCAUGGAAUAAUGGAAUAGGACCUUUUCUGUUUUAUUGGUUGACAGAUAGGUAAUGAUUAACAGGG